GAAAAGAAGCUUUAAAAGUUCUUAUUGGUAUCCUGGAAAAAGUAGAAAUGGAGAAGGCUGCUAAGAAUUUAGAUGCAAAAGCCCAAUCCAGUGGCAGUUCUGAAAGCUCUGAAGGCCUGAAGGUGAAGGUGAUACUUCUUCCUCUGAUUGAUGGUUCCCCCUCUUGUUUGUUGAAGACUGAAGACUGUAUGAGGUGUGCUGUGAAGACUGUGAAGUUGUUGUGUCUGAUGUUUUGGGUGGUGUUCUGCUGUUGCUAUAUGGAUGCUGAAGUUUUUUUGUUUUUU
rnacentral:lncRNA from 1 species